CACCCUCUUCUUCUCCUCUUGAGUUCCAUUGCGAGUCGAGAUUUCUAGGCCAUCUUCUUCUUCUUCCUCCCCUUCGCUCUGUGAAUCGACUUCUCGGAAAAAAGGAAGGGAAGCUGGGGGGGUUAAACGGGGAGAAGGACCCACAAAUGAGUGAGAUCUGUUAUGAAUUACCACUGGUUGUUGUUCAUGGUGUUGUGGGUCCCCGGGAAAAGAUGACGGAGAGGGAUUUGUGGGGCCAAAUACAUCGGAG
rnacentral:misc_RNA from 1 species